CUGACUAGUCGUUUCCUUUUGGGACCCUAAUGAGAGGAAACAACAGCGGCAGAUCACACGUGAAGAAAAGUCACAAAACCAGAAAGCAAACACAUUUAUACCCUGCACUCUAGAGAUAACGUGAACGAGUAGAAGGAGAAGAAAAUUACAACCCUGAUGUGAAAAGCAGGAUCUUGCGGGAAAGUGAGUGGAAGAGGCGGGUGGUGAAGUAGGUUCCUGGAUGGAUGGCUUGUAAAAGCCUCGAGGUUACAAAAGUACCUUCCGUGCAUUAUCUCUGUUGGGAGUCUGUACUGCUUCAAAACCUGCCCCAGCCAAGAAUUGAUAUUCAGGAAGUUAAGCUGAUGGAAAGGGUCCAGGAGAAAAAGAUGAAAGAGAAAGAAUGCUGCCGAAGACUAAGCUCUAGAACUGACCAGAGAUGAGAUUGAAGGCACAGAUCAAGUUAGUCUGAAACGGGAACCCUCUUGCACUGUUGCUGGGAAUGCAAACUGGUGCGGCCACUCUGGAAAACAGUGUGGAGGGUCCUCAAAAAAUUAAAAAUAGAUCUACCCUAUGACCCAGCAAUAGUACUGCUAGGAAUUUACCCAAGGGAUACAGGAGUGCUGAUGCAUAGGGGCACUUGUACCCCAAUGUUUAUAGCAGCACUCUCAACAAUAGGCAAAUCGUGGAAAGAGCCUAAAUGUCCAUCAACUGAUGAAUGGAUAAAGAAAUUGUGGUUUAUAUACACAAUGGAAUACUACUUAGCAAUGAGAAAGAAUGAAAUAUGGCCCUUUGUAGCAACGUGGAUGGAACUGGAGAGUGUGAUGCUAAGUGAAAUAAGCCAUACAGAGAAAGAUACCAUAUGUUUUCACUCUUACGUGGAUCCUGAGAAACUUAACAGAAGACCAUGGGGGAGGGGAAGGGGGAAAAAAAGUUAGGGAGGGAGCCAAACCAUAAGAGACUCUUAAAAACUGAGAACAAUCUGAGGAUUGAUGGGGGGUGGGAGAGAGGGGAGGGUGGGUGAUGGGCAUGGAGGAGGGCACCUGUUGGGAUGAGCACUGCGUGUUGCAUGGAAACCAAGUUGACAAUAAAUUAUAUUUUAAAAAACAGAAGUCUUUUUUUUAAUGUUUAUUUAUUUAUUUUGAGAGAGAGGAAGACAGAGCAUGUGAGUGGAGGACAGGCAGAGAGAGAGAGAGAGAGAGAGAGAGAGAGAGAGAGAGAAUCCAAGCAGGCUUACCGCUGUCAGCACAGAGCCUGAAGCAACGUGGGGCUCCAUCCUGCCAACCGUUGAGAUUGUGACCCGAGCAGAAAUCAAGAGUUAGACACUCAACUGACUGAGUCACCCAGGCUCCCUAAGAAGUUGGUCUUAAAGUGCUGAGAGAAAGAAUAGGAGAAAGACAUUUGUCUACUACUCCACAUAUUGUUUAAUACCUGCCUCUGAAUCUUAAGAAUAUACAAGAUACAUGCAAAUGAGCAUUAAUCUUAGGAUCCACAACAUCCAGCAUUUUCUUAAAAGGGACCAUAACCACAAAAGCACACGCAUCAAUAGUGUACUCAAAAUAUCUUUCAUAUUUACCAGUUUAUGAUUACACUUUAAAAGUCAGAACUAGUUUUUAUCACCUUUAAUUAAACGGUGCAACUUCAUUUCAUAGGUGGAAAUGAAACAUUUGUUCUUUCAAAUAUUUUUUUAUUUUUAAUUUUAAUUUUAAUUUUUUUAAAUUUACAUCCAAAUUAGUCAGCAUAUAGUGCAACAAUGAUUUCAGGAGUAGAUUCCUUAGUGCCCCUGACCCAUUUAGCCCAUCCCCCCCACACCCCCUCCAGCAGCCCUCAGUUUGUUCUCCGUAUUUAAGAGUCUCUUCUGUUUUGUCCCCCUCCCUGUUUUUAUAUUAUUUUUGUUUCCCUUCCCUUAUAUUCAUCUUUUUUGUCUCUUAAAGUCCUCAUAUGAGUGAAGUCUUAUGAUUGUUGUCUUUCUCUGACUAAUUUCACUUAGCAUAAUACCCUCCAGUUCCAUCUACGUAGUUGCAAAUGGCAAGAUUUCAUUCUUUCUGAUUGCUGAGUAAUGCUCCAUUGUAUAUUACAUACCACAUCUUCUUUAUCCAUUUAUCCAUCGAUGGUCAUUUGGGCUCUUUCCAUACUGUGGUUAUUGUCGAUAGUGCUGCUAUAAACAUGGGGGUGCAUGUGCCCCUUCGCAACAGCACACCUGUAUCCCGUGGAUAAAUGCCUAGUAGUGCAAUUGCUGGGUCAUAGGGUAGUUCUAGUUUUAAUUUUUUGAGGAACCUCCAUACUGUUUUCCAGAGUGGCUGCACCAGUUUGCAUUCCCACCAGCAAUGCAACAGCAUCCCUCUUUCUCCGCAUCCUCGCCAACACCUGUUGCCUGAGUUGCUAAUGUUAGCCAUUCUGACAGGGGUGAGAUGGUAUCGCAUUGUGGUUUUGAUUUAUAUUUCCCUGAUUCUGAGUAAUGUGGAGCAUGUUUUCAUGUGUCAGUUGGCCAUCUGGAUGUCUUCUUUGGAGAAGUGUCUAUUCAUGUCUUUUGCUCAUUUCUUCACAGGAUUCUUUGUAUUUUGGGUGUUGAGUUUGAUAAAUUCUUUAUAGAUUUUGGAUACUAACCCUUUAUCUGAUAUGUUGUUUGCAAAUAUCUUCUCCCAUUAGGUCAGUUGCCUUUUAGUUUUGCUGAUCGUAUUUUUUUUUUUAACUUUUAUUUAUUUUUGAGGGAGAGACAGUGUGCAUAGAGGGAGACAGAGAAUCCGAAACAGGCUCCAUGCUAUCAGUGCAAAGCCCGAUGUGGGGCUCGAACCCACGAACUGUCAGAUCAUGACUAGAGCCAAAGUAGGACACUCAAUCGACUGAGCCACCCAGGUGCCCCACAAAUAGUUUUUUAAAGUAUG